CUUAAAUACACCCCUCCCCUCCCUCCGCCGCUUCCAUCACAUCACAUCGUCUUCUUUCUCUCUUUUGGCUUCCUCGUUCUGUCUCUCUCUCUCUCUCUAUCUCUCGGGUCGAUUGAGUACGUGGGAUAGACGCCAUGAGGAUGAGCUGCAACGGAUGCCGGGUUCUACGCAAGGGGUGCAGCGAGAACUGCAGCAUCCGCCCCUGCCUGCAGUGGAUCAAGAGCCCUGAGUCUCAGGCCAAUGCCACUGUCUUCCUCGCCAAGUUCUACGGCCGUGCUGGCCUCAUGAACCUUAUCAACGCCGGCCCCGACCACCUCCGCCCCGCCAUAUUUCGAUCUCUGCUGUACGAGGCUUGCGGCCGGAUCGUCAACCCGAUCUACGGCUCCGUCGGACUGCUGUGGUCCGGCAGCUGGCAGCUCUGCCAGGCGGCGGUGGAGGCGGUGCUCAAGGGCGCCCCUAUCGUCCAGAUCCCCUACGAGAAGGCAGCCUCCACCCCGGCCCCGCCGCUCAAGGCCUACGACAUCCGCCAUGUUUCCAAGGACUCCGCCGCCGCCCGGGCCGCCGCGGAGCUCCACAAGGUCAACAAGCCCCGCUCCCGUUUCAAGCGCUCCGGUGCCAAGACCACGAGGCCGGACACCCCCUUGCCCGAGUUCCAGCGGGCUCGGAGCCACGAGUCGGCGGCCAGCCACGCGACCGAGCCCGGCCCGUCGGCAGCCGCUGCCAGCGGAGAAGAAGCGGAGUGCCGCGAGAACGAGAGCAUGGCCUCGGCGGACACCGCGGAGGAGGCGUCGCACGUGAGCCAGGGGGAGCCGCAGAGGGCUGAGGAGGCGGAGCAGGAGGAGGAGGAGAUCAGUCUGGAGCUUACCCUCGGGCUCGAACCGGCGUCCCGGUCGGCUCGGCCCGCCGAGCACGAGGCGGCGCCGCAGUGCGACGUCAGCAGCUGGGAUGCUGUCGCGCGCACGAGCGGUCUCGGCCUGGCUCUUCCACCUCCAUCAUGAUCCAAACCAGGAAGUGACAGAUAUAAUGAAGAGCAGUGAGAGGCUUCUCGAGUUUGCCUUGAGGAAUUUGUUUUACAUCGCCCUCUUCUUUUUCUUUGAUCUUUCUUUCCUCUGUCUUGUGCAGAGGAUUGAAGAGUUCUAUAAUUCAUGAUUCCCCAUCUCCGGGUAGUGUAUUAGAUGCUAGGUGAGGACUAGUUUCAUGUGUGCACAGAGACUUUGGGCUAAAGUUAAUCCCAUGUAUGUGUAUUCAGUAUUCUUUGCAGAAUUGUCAAAUCACAAUGGUAAAAUCCAUUGCGGUUGGUCGCUUCUUGGAAAACCUGCUCCGGUGUUAGGAGAAGAUGAAAGGAAAACAACAGAGCAACUUCUGUUUCUUCAGAGCUAUGAAUAAAUAAUUACUCUUAAAA